CCCUAGGUCAGGUAGGAUUACCUAUUGAGUUUAAGCAUAUGAAUAAGCAAAGGAAAAGAAACUUACCAAGAUUCUCCUAGUAACAAUGAGUGAACUAGGAAAAGCCCCGGUUAAGAAUCGAAAACCCUUGGAGUCCAAAUUAUAGUUUGGUGAAACAUCUUCAGUGAUGGACUAGGCUUAAAUCCCAUAGAAAAGGGUGUUAGAGAGGGUGAGAAUCCUAUUAUGCUUGGAUCCUAUCACACUAUGAGACUCUAUCCAUGAGUCAGGUUGUUUGGGACUGCAGCCCUAAUCGAGUGGUAAAUUUCCUCUAAGGCUGAAUACGAGUGGAAGACUAAUAGUGAAGAAGUACUAUGAAAGAAAGAUGAAAAAGACUUUGAAAAGAGAGUCAAAGAGUGCUUGAAAUUAUCUAAAGGGAAACAAAUGGAGGAUGAUGAUGCACCCUAGUUAGAUGUGGAAUGGUGAGAGCUAGUCCAUUGAUUGGCUUAGGGCAUGGACUAACGUGUGUCGUAGUGGCUGCCUAACCUUAGACUUUUGAUAUGCCCAUAGAGACAUUGUCGCUAUGAUCGUGGAACCGAACACACAUCGUCUCAACAUGCCUCGACACUCAUGUGCUCCUGGCAUCAGCCUGCAAGCUCCCUAUCUAGCUUGUCUUGAAACAUAGACCAAGGAGUGUGACAUGUGUGCAAGUUAACAUACUAGAUAACCUUUAAGGUGCAAGGAAGUUGGUUGGCGGGAUCCCUCACAGGUGCACCACCGAUUGACCUUGAUCUUCUAAGAAAGGUUUGAGUGUGAGCUUACCUAUUGAGGUGAACUAUGCUUGAGUGGGGCUAAGCUAUGGGAAACUCUAGUGGAAGCCCACAAUGAUACUAAUGUGUAAAUCAUUCAUCUAACUUGGGUAUAAGGGUGAAAGACUAAUUGAACCAUCUAGUAGCUAGUUCCCUCUAAAGUUUCUUUUAGGAUAGAUGGAGCCCUUAGCGAGUUCUAUUGGGUAAAGCCAUGGUUAGUGGUAUCAGGGCACAAUGCCCUCAACCUAUUCUCAAACUUAAAUAAGUAGGAUGAUGCAGCUACUUCAUUGAGAUGCCCCAUGCAAUCGAGACUCCAAAUGGGCCAUUUUUGGUAAGUAGACCUAGCGACAUAGGAUGAACUAAAAGUUAGGUUACAGUGGCUAAUUGUACGCUAACUUAGAACCUUCAAAGCUGUUGGUCGAUUAAGACAGUAAGACAAUGAUCGUGGAAGUCAAAAUCCUUUAAGGAAUGUGUAACAACCCACUUGUCAAAUCAACUAGCCUCAAAAAUAAAUGGAACUUAAGCAUGUGACCUAUACUAGAUCAUCAAGGCAAGGGUGAAACCCUAAUGAGUAUGAGGGUAUGAUGGUUGCUACAAAACUCAAUGUGCAAGCUUGUGUAAAGAGACUGUCAGUGCAGAUCUUGGUGGUAGUAGUAAAUAUUCAAAUAAAAACUUUAAAGGCCAAAGAAGGGAAAGGUUUCAUAUGAACAGCACUUGCACAUAGGUUACUCGAUCCUUAGAGAUGGGCCUAACAUGAGCUUUGAAAGGAAACUGAGUUAAAAUUCCUAAACUGGGACACAAUGGUUAACAGCAACAUUAGAGAUUCCAAAGACAUCGAUGGGGGCCUCAAGAAAAGUUAUCUUUUCUAUUUAAUGACCUGCCCACCUUAGAAACAACUCAAUUGGAGUUAAGUUCCAUUAGCCAAAAGAGCAACAGAUGUCACAUUAUGUCUUGUUCGCCCUAAAAACCCUUUAAAAUAUGGAGGAGUGAGUGCUAUUCAUGUCCAGUUGUACUCAUAAUUGCAUGGGUUUCCAAAUUGAACAAGCUCCAGUUGAUUGAACAAUGUAGGUGAGGGAAGUCAGCAAAAUGGAUCUCUAACCUUGGGAAAAUGAUUGGCUCUGAGGGUUAGGCAUGGGGGCCCUAGUCUUGAACCUUUUAGCUACCAAUGCAUUACUCGAGCUACCUCCAUGAUGAGAGCAAUUCGAUGCGUGUAGGCCAGGGGAUGGACUAGGAAUGGCUCCCUUGGGGGCUUUUCCCAUGUGAUGAAUAGUCAACUCAAAACUGGUAUGGACUAGAGGAAUCCGACUGUUUAAUUAAAACAAAGCAUUAUGACGGUCCCUAGGGAUGCUCAUUCAAUGUGAUUUUUGCCUAGUGCUCUAAAUGUCAAAGUGAAGAAUUUCAACCAAUUAUGGGUAAACGGUGGGAGUAAUAUGACUCUUUUGAGGUAGCCAAAUGCCUCUACAUCUAAUUAGUGACACACAUAAGUGGAUUAACAAGAUUCCCAUUGUCUUUGUUAACUAUCCAGUAAAACCACAACCAAGGGAAUGGGCUUAGUAGAACCAGCAGAAAAGAAGACCUAAUUAAGCUUGACUCUAGUCUAACUUUGUGGAAUGAGUUGAGAGGUGUAGGAUAAGUGGGAGCCCUUUGAUGAAAUUGAAAUACCAUUUCUAUUAAUGUUGUUUUGCUUAUUUCAUGAAUCGGAGGUGGGCAAAACCUUUUUUUUGGACGUAAAGCCAGCCUCGAUCUAUCAAUCCAGGCAGAAGACAUUGUCAGAUGGGGAGUUUGCUAGGGUAGCACAUCUAUUAAAAGAUAACACAAGUGUCUUAUGAUAAUUUCAAUGAGAACAAGAAGCUUAUGUGGAACAAAAGGGAAAAGGCUCAUUUCAUUUUGAUUUCCAGUACAAAUAUGAACCAUGAAAGCAUGGCCUAUCGAUCUUUUAGACCUUUAAAAUUUGAAGCCAAUGGCAUUAGAAAAGUUACCAUAGGGAUAAUUAGCUUGUGGCAACAAAGUAUUCAUUAGUGACAUUGUUUUUUGAUCCUUCGAUGUCAGCUCUUCCCAUCAUUGUGAAGCAGAAUUCUCUAAGUGUUGGAUUGUUCACCCACCAAUAUGAAAUGUGAGCUAGGUUUAGACCAUUGUGAGAUACAUUAGUUUUACCCUACUGAUAGCAAUGUUGCAAUAGUAAUUCAACGUAGAAUGAAAAGAAUUGUUGAUUGGCACAAUUGGUCAUCGUGCUUGGUUGAAAAGCUAGAGGUAAGAAGCUAUCAUGUGUUAGAUUAUGAUUGAAUGCCUCUCAGUCAAAAUCUAGGCUAGAAGUGAUGCAUGUGCCAUCAUCCAAUUGCCGACCUAUAGUAUGGAUGCAUACCCCCCAAGGGCAUGUGUCAUAGGUGCAGCCCCUGCUACGGAUAAGCUAUGCAAGCCUC
rnacentral:rRNA from 1 species